AGUGAACGCUGGCGGUAGGCCUAACACAUGCAAGUCGAACGGCAGCACAGUAAGAGCUUGCUCUUACGGGUGGCGAGUGGCGGACGGGUGAGGAAUACAUCGGAAUCUACUUUUUCGUGGGGGAUAACGUAGGGAAACUUACGCUAAUACCGCAUACGACCUACGGUUGAAAGCAGGGGAUCUUCGGACCUUGCGCGAUUGAAUGAGCCGAUGUCGGAUUAGCUAGUUGGCGGGGUAAAGGCCCACCAAGGCGACGAUCCGUAGCUGGUCUGAGAGGAUGAUAAGCGACACUGGAACGGAGACACGGUCAAGACUCCUACGGGAGGCAGCAGUGGGGAAUAUUGGACAAUGGGCGCAAGCCUGAUCCAGCCAUACCGCGUGGGUGAAGAAGGCCUUCGGGUUGUAAAGCCCUUUUGUUGGGAAAGAAAAGCAGCAGGUUAAUACCCAGCGGUUCUGACGGUACCCAAAGAAUAAGCACCGGCUAACUUCGUG
rnacentral:rRNA from 1 species